CCGGUAUUUCAUGAAUUCAUUUUGUAUCAAGAAUUAUCAUUCGAAACAAAAGAAGAUUAAAUGAAAGCAUUUAUAAGUACAUUCCCUUCUUAGAACGGAAAUAAUGUAUCAGAAACUUAAACUCUUCGGUAAAAAUCGGACUAUUCGACAGAACCAUAGAUAGACAGAACACCGCGCAAUCAUUGAACUAGACUACAGAUUCCCUCCACUUCAAUGCGCGCAAUAUGUUACUAUCAUAGAUAAUAAAUAUAGAAAAGGGUAUCUAUCUCGAAAACAUCAAUAAACAUCGCAUUCAUACAGUUAAUACAGUUUCAAUUCGACAUUAAGGGACGUUAACUGCUAAGCAUUGAAGAUAAAUACUACGGUUUUUGUUAUAAUCACAUGAUCAAAUAAAAAAAAAUGAAUCGGUUAUUAUCAGUUUUUGAAAUUCUACUAUGCAUAACCUAUUCAUUGUCUAGUUCUAGCUUACAAUUUGCUAGGGCUAGAAUAGAAAGCUGUCCUGGAUGCCAAUUAAAUAGAUUACCAGAAGUAAGAAGAUUUAUAUAUGAAGAUAUCCCCCAUUACCAAAAUGUUGAAUUU